rnacentral:rRNA from 1 species
AGAGUUUGAUCAUGGCUCAGAGCGAACGCUGGCGGCAGGCCUAACACAUGCAAGUCGAGCGGCCGUAGCAAUACGGCAGCGGCAGACGGGAGAGUAACACGUGGGAACGCGCCCUUCGGUUCGGGAUAACCCAGGGAAACUUGGGCUAAUACCGGAUACGCCCUUACGGGGAAAGAUUUAUUGCCGAAGGAACGGCCCGCGUCCGAUUAGCUAGUUGGUGAGGUAAUGGCUCACCAAGGCGACGAUCGGUAGCUGGUCUGAGAGGAUGACCAGCCUCACUGGGACUGAGGCACGGCCCAGACUCCUACGGGAGGCAGCAGUGGGGAAUAUUGGACAAUGGGCGAAAGCCUGAUCCAGCCAUGCCGCGUGGGUGAAGAAGGCCUUAGGGUUGUAAACCCCUUUCAGCGGGGAAGAUAAUGACGGUACCCGCAGAAGAAGUCCCGGCUAACUCCGUGCCAGCCGCCGCGGUAAUAC